GACAGAGGGUGCAAACGUUGUUCGGAUUUACUGGGCGUAAAGCGCGUGUAGGCGGCUUUGCAAGUCGGAUGUGAAAGCCCACGGCUCAACCGUGGAAGUGCAUCCGAAACUGCAUGGCUUGAGUCUCGGAGAGGAAGGUGGAAUGCUUGGUGUAGAGGUGAAAUUCGUAGAUAUUAGGAAGAACACCAGUGGCGAAGGCGGCUCACUGGUCCGGUACUGACGCUGAGGUGCGAAAGCGUGGGGAGCAAACAGG
rnacentral:rRNA from 1 species